CUCUGCUUGCGCAUGCGCAAUGCCAGCCAGUGCCUGCGCGGCUUGCUCCAGCAAGGUAAAAUUUCCCACUGCGAGGCAGGCAGUGAUGCUGCGGCCGCUUCGCACUGUGGCUCCUGCCGACCGCCAGGCGCUGUUACAGUGGAUGCGAACUAACCAUGCAGCAGCAGCCGGAACCCACAGUUCACCUUGGUGCAUUCCUUUAUGAUGAAGACUUAUUGAUUCAUUAUAUGAGAAAGGAAAAAUGAGCAGAAACUACUGUAUGAUGUGCAGCUCACACCAGACAGCAACUUUAGGGUUAUCUUUCCAGUUCAGCAGUGCAACUCUAUGGAGUAGAAUUGAAAGGAGACUUUUCGCCAAUUGCAGGAAAUGGUCAUAAAAAAAUACCUGCUCACUGACAGAAUAAAGGUACCUUUUAACUUAGUCAAA
ensembl:lncRNA novel transcript